rnacentral:rRNA from 1 species
AUUGAACGCUGGCGGCAGGCCUAACACAUGCAAGUCGGGCGGUAGCACAAGGGAGCUUGCUCCCUGGGUGACGAGCGGCGGACGGGUGAGUAAUGUCUGGGAAACUGCCUGAUGGAGGGGGAUAACUACUGGAAACGGUAGCUAAUACCGCAUAACGUCUUCGGACCAAAGAGGAGGACCUUCGGGCCUCUUGCCAUCGGAUGUGCCCAGAUGGGAUUAGCUAGUAGGUGAGGUAAAGGCUCACCUAGGCGACGAUCCCUAGCUGGUCUGAGAGGAUGACCAGCCACACUGGAACUGAGACACGGUCCAGACUCCUACGGGAGGCAGCAGUGGGGAAUAUUGCACAAUGGGCGCAAGCCUGAUGCAGCCAUGCCGCGUGUGUGAAGAAGGCCUUCGGGUUGUAAAGCACUUUCAGCGGGGAGGAAGGCGAUAAGGUUAAUAACCUUGUCGAUUGACGUUACCCGCAGAAGAAGCACCGACUAACUCCGUGCCAGCCGCCGCGGUAAAAC